rnacentral:rRNA from 1 species
GGUGUCCUCAAUAGGGACUUGAUGAACGGCUAAAUGAGGGCCUGCCUGUUUCCUGUAGCCCAUCAAUGAACCUAAUCUCUUAGUACAAAAGCUAAGAUAAACACAUAAGACGAGAAGACCCUGUGGAGCUUAAAGCAGUCUAAUACCCACAUAUUUAUGACACUUUUAGUUGGGGCGACUGUGGAACAAAACAAAACUUCCACGCACCAGAACACCCUUCGCACACAGGCACCCACGCCCCCGUGACUCCCCUCCGCUGACCCAGUCUAACUGACCAUCGAACCAAGUUACCCCAGGGAUAACAGCGCCAUCCUCUUCAAGAGCCCCUAUCGCCAAGAGGGUUUACGACCUCGAUGUUGGAUCAGGGCCCCCCAGUGGUGCAGCCGCUACUAACGGUUCGUUUGUUCAACGAUUAAUGCCCUACGU